GCCAGUGUGGCUCAGUGGAUAGAGCACCGGCCCACGGACCGAAGGGUCCCGGGUUCAAUUCCUGUCAACGGCA
rnacentral:tRNA from 1 species